UGCACCCGAGCGUGCUUUUGCCGAUUUUGUUCUCUGCAAUGUGGUACUCCAUUUGGUGAUCAUGAACUUCCUUGGCUAAACAGGGUUCGUGUAACUCUUGUUGUUUCCAAUUGAGCUCUCGGACAAUAAAAAUGAAAAGUAGUAUACCUGGACAUAUCUCUUGCAAUAGUAUUUAUAGACAGUCACUGGCAUUUAACUGAUGUUAUGCUUUAGUUGAUGAAUAUUUUGGUCUUUUAUGGGGGUUCUGAACAAAGAGAUGUUAGAUGUUUAUUAUGAGAUAUUUUAAACUACUUUUUGAAUAGUGAAUCACCCAUGUUCAAAUGGAUAUCUAAAUCCUAGCACUAUCCAAAAGAUCAAAGUAAGGGUUUCUUAAGGCUUUUGCAUAUAGCAUGAAAUAUCUGAUCAAGAUGAAAACAAAACUUCUAGUCCACAGUUGUGAGAAAUGAAUUCUGAUUCAUUAUGUCUCGCCUUUUAUCAUACUCAAGUUGCUUAUAAUUCAGUAAUUAUAAAUAUUUAUAUACCUUGUCAAUUCAUCAUUCCUAGUUGCUUGUGCUCACUACUAACCUAUCCAGCACCACCAUGGUUUCUUUCUAUAUGUGGCUACACCCUUAACUCCUUCACUUUUAACCUAUCCACAAUGGAUUCUAGUAUGCUCUUUGAAUAAGAGGGUAUCACACAAGGAUAGUUUUUAUGUCAAUCUUGCCUAACAAGCACUUUGUUCAAUUCCAUCACUUUCUUUCAAAUUGAGGUGUCUAACGCCAAACUCUUAGAAAGGACACAAGAAUGGCAAAGGAAUGUCGAAUAGAGUGAAUCACUUCCACUUUGGGUGUACUUUUGGAGCUCCAUCUUACCGUAAGAUGGAGAAGAUUGAGUGAAGUUAAGGAGAUAGAUGCAUUGUCACCAUUCAUGAAUCCUAAUAUUUCUCUAACCUUAUUUUAUGUUUUUGGUAAAUGUAUGUACAAUGUAAAAAAAAAAUUAUAUCCUAAUAAAACUCCCUCCCCAGUGCCGAUUUUGGGGAGGAGAGAGAAAUUUUUUUACAGAAAUCGGCAAUCCCAUUGCCGAUUUCUAAAAAGUUAUACUAGUUUGGUAAUUUUUUUAAAAGGUGCACCAAAACCGUAAUUUUUCGGUCAAGGUGCACCACAUGUGUAAAUUUUCCGAAAAUUGUAGUACUUGAUAGAGAUGGUAUGCCAUGUCAUAGAUGAACAGUCCACAUAUUAAAAUAUUUUAAAAUAAAACGAGUGCUAGGACCUUGGGAUUUUUUUAUUCAUAUCCAUUUGUCUCCUUCCAGUAUUUCUUCAUGUCCAGUUUUGAAUCUAAUUAUAUAUAUUUAAUAUAAUUUAAUAAUUAAAAUUAUAUUAAAUAAUAGAAAAAAUUACAGUAAGAUCCUCUAAGUUUUAGUGAAAUUACGCAACUCAACCUCACUUUUUCUACACCUACGUAAACCCCUUAAUUUUAAUACAUUCAUUAUACUCACCACCUCUAUAUGAGAAAUAAGUAUAUUCUUUUAAACAAAAAAGGUGAUAAAUACAAUUAAUUUAAACAAAACAUGGUAUAUCAUGGAGAGAAGUCCAAAUAAUAUACUAAAAGAUGAAUAAUACAUCUAUAUUAUUGGAGACUAAAAGAAGUAUAAUGUGAGAUAUUUAUACUCAAGGAAGUCUAACCGAUUGAUUACAAUUGAAUUAACUAACUUAACAAUAAGAGGGAGAUGAAUAUUUUGAGUAACUUGUGGGUCAAUUAACAUAAUGGUAGGGACCAGGUUGGUUGGUUUGGUGCGCCAACCUGGCCAACUUGUGCGUCAAUCUAGUGUAUAGUUGAUGUGUCUUGUCGUGGAGAGCCUCGGUCAGAGUGUAGGGGUGUGAUUCACCUUCGUGCGCCAAGUUAGUAUGUGUUUGAUGCGCCUCAUCGGGGUGUGCCUCGGUCAGGGUGUGUGAGCAUGAUAUACCUUGGUGUGCCAAGUUAGUGUGUGUCUGAUGUGCCUGACCAUGAUGUGUCUCGGUUAGGGUGUGAGAAUCUGAUGCGCCUUGGUGCGAUGUGUCUCAGUUAGAGUCAGUUUGUGAUGCAUGUGAUAUACGGUCAGGAGACCUUAGCCUAUUGGUGUGUUUGGGCUUGACUCGGUCAUUUGGUUCGAUGUCUUGUGCAUGUUUGGCCUGUGAUACUUGAUCAUAUUUGUUGGUGCUUGGCUCAUAUCUUCUUGUACUUGUAGAACGAAUAAAAAACAAAUAAAUAUAAAAUAAAGUGAUAUGAUGAUGAGAAAUAAAAUAGAUGAAAUAUGGUUAAAUUAAUAUGUCCUAGCAUAACUCUCAUUAAUAGAAUAAAAAUUACAUCGUGUAAAUAAGAUAGGAUGAGUCAAAAGGAUGAUAAUAUUAUAUUUCAUCAUCUCAAAAAACCAAAUAUUAGAACAUGAUAUGACUACCAUAUUAUAUUAUAUCGCUAUUAUCAUAGUCAACGGUGCAAAUGUGUAUGAAGAGAACAAUAUUUUGACUCUUUAUUGUAAUAGAGUUGACAGAACAAAUCAACCCACCUAAUAGCAUGGUUUCGAAUACAAAAAAUUUAAAGUAAUAAAUGACAUGAAAAUGAGUUUUAUCAGCAAACUAUCAUUUUAACAAAGUCUAACACAUAUUAAGAGUUCAACUCUUAAUAUAUGGAAAAUUGUUUGUUGAAAAAUGUGGAUUUUUUGUUUCAAAAAGAUUAAUUACCAAUUCUUAAUAAAAAUAUGGUUUUGUGAAAGAUUAUUCUAACACAUGUUUUGACAAUGCCUUCUCCAUUGGUUACUAUAGGCUCAUACACUAUAUCUCGAACAUUAUUGAGUAAUGAAUAUUAACCUCCAAAUCAGUUUAUGAAGCUUUCUAACAUAAUAUUGUUGUAGAUCCUAGACAAAUAUGAGGAAACUGAAGUGGGAUGACCCAUUCAAAAUAUGCAUAAUGGCUUAUGGAUGAAUAGCAUAUAUGGAAAUCUAAUAUUGUAGAAGAUCCAAUUUACCUAAGUAAAACAUAAAUGAUUUUGCACUUACUUCAUCACGGUAGGUGUGUGAGACAUUUCUAAGACAAUUUGAUCUCUUUGAAUAACUAGUAAGCUUUUUCAACAAUGACUUGAAAGAUCAGAUAAGAGGGAAUCUCGAUAAUUCUGCAUUAGCUACAAUAAAUAAUAUUCAACCUCAAGAUUUUGGCCUUGUUCUUUGGUCGAUUUGGAAAAUGAGGAAUAAUGUGGUUUUCAAGGCAAAGACUUGCAACAACUUUACUACAAUGCAAGUAAGAAGGCAAUGAAAAAUGCAAAUAAUAACAACAUGGGCAUUCUUCCUCCUUUCACUUCAUGUCUAUAGUCAAAUUUUAGUGAGUUUGGACCCCUCCAUUGGGUUGGGUUGGUUUAAAUAUAAUGUGGACGAGUCUGUUAAGAAGAUAAGUAACAUGAUGGAUUGUGGUUGAAUUUGUAGAGAUGACUCAGGAAGAUAGAUGUUUGACUUUUGCAAUAACUUGAGAGUUUUUAAUGGCUUAUGAGUAGAACUUUGAAGCUUAUUCCCAACUCUUACUCAAGCAUGAAGUAAGGUUUAAACGAAAGUAAUACUCAAAUGGAUUUCCAAUUGGUUGUCAACUUGGUUAACAAUGGUUAUGACCAUGGAUGGGGAUCUGUUGUACCCAACCACGUUCCCUGACCAAUCAUAAUAAAGCAAAAUUGAUAAAGUUAGAAUAUUUAAAUUUUUUUAAUUGACUGGCAUAAUAUGAUUGGUCUGGGACAGAGUUUGGGACAGCAGAUCCUUAUCCUAUGACCAUCAUCAUCCAUAUGUUUUUUUGGAGGAAAUCAUUAGAACCUAGUUGAAAAGAGAUUGGACAAUUGGAUGUUUUCACUUUCAUAGAGAAGCAAAUCAUAUGACAAAUUUCAUUGCAAAUAUGUUUCAUUAUCUAAAUCUGGAUACUCAUGUGAUGGAUCUUCCUUCAACUAGAUGCAGAGAUUUCCUCUCAUAAUGUUUUAGACUUUAGUAUAACUUUCUCUGCAUAUCCCCUCCCAAUAAAAAAAGUUAGUCAUGAGGGUUGACUAGUACACAAAAACAGCAUUGAAUAAUUGGCACAAAAAAUCCAUGAUUUAUUAUCAAUUAUUAAUAUCAAUAAUAAUAAUAACUAUGCCCUCUAAGUGAUAUUUGGUAGUAAUAAAAAAAUGUUCAUACAGUUUAAAAUCUGUCGACCGAUAAUAUAAGGUUUUUUACACUGUUAUUACAUCAUCCACCAUUGAUUUGCAUUACUUUUGUUUAAGAGUCAAUGAUAAUUAAUAAAUCAAUAAUGGAUAAUUGACUGAUAGUGUAAAAAACAUUUAAAUCGUGAUUGUAUACAUAUUAAAUCUAGAUCCAUAAUCACAGAAAAACUUGAGUAUUUUUUUGUUGUUGCUACAGAAGGCUGAGAAGAAACAGACAAAUUUUUCUAUAGUCACACUGGUAGAGCGAAAAAAAGCGAAGAAAGGGUUUUGUUCGAGUUUCGAAAAUGGCGAGGUCGACGAGUAAGGAUGCCCAAGAUCUCUUCCGCGCUCUGUGGUCUUCUUAUUCCGCAGCCCCCACUAAUCUCAAGGUAACUCCUCUCUCUCUCUCUCUCUCUUUCUCUUAAUCUUUUCAAAAUCUGAUUUUUAUUUUUCAAACUCAUACCAAUUCUUCUCUCUUCAGAUCAUUGAUCUCUAUGUCAUCUUCGCUGUUUUCACCGCCCUUAUCCAGGUACUUUCCAACCUUAAUUUCCGUUAGAUCUCACCUUUUCACGUUAAUUGUUGUUGUUUGCUGUCCAUGUUGUGAUCACAAUUGCGGUUGCGAUUUCGGCGAUUCCCAAAACCUUGACAUAUUGACAUUCGGUCGCGAACCCAGAUUUAAAACCUUGUCAAUUAUAUAGCUUAACUAGAUAGAUCUGAGGUUUAUGAUGUUGUAGCCCAUGCCAUCUGGUCAUAAAUAAAACAUGUUGAUGGAAAGCGGAAAUGUGAAACAUUUUGUAAUGAAAGUUACUUCAUGAGAAGGUAUAAACUAAGGAUUAUUUAUUUUGUUUUAAGAGGAGUGUUCUCAUUCUCACCAUAGCUGUAAAAUAAAUUGUUACAUGUUUGUAUCCUUAUGAAUUUAAGUUACCACUACCAGCUUAUGCCGAAACUUUGUUGUUUUAAAUUUAUGAACAGGUAGCUUAUGUCGCUUUGGUGGGAUCAUUUCCAUUUAACUCCUUCCUUUCCGGAGUGCUUUCUUGCGUAGGGACUGCAGUUCUUGCUGGUGAGUCGCAAAAAUCAAUUAACAAUUUGCAGCCUUGGCUAAUGAUUAUGCACACUAAUAUUUAUGUACAUAUGAGACUUCUAAGCCUGCUAUAUACAUACAUAUAUAUAUAUAUGUAUAUGUAUGUAUGUAUUGAUAUGCAUUUGUUUGUUCUUGUCUUUCUUAUCAUUGCUAUCCUCUUUUACUUUGGAACAGUUUGUCUCAGGAUCCAAGUGAAUAAGGAGAAUAAGGAAUUCAAGGUAAAUAUUCUUUUCUUGUCUGUCCGUUUUGAUGUAUAUGAGUCAAAUUGAAACCCAUGAUUACCCUUGCAAGUUGCAACGCAGAAUUUUUUUAGUUUUCUUUCAUUUUUUUCCGUUAUAAUAUAUUUCAGCAACCUAUCAUAAUUAUGUAGAUUUUGAACUUAGACCACUGCAUCUUUGAUUAUAAAAACAAAGCAGAAGGGAAAUAGUGAACUGAUAUUUUGUCUACAUACUGGUCACUUCACUUGGUAUAUUCUUACACACAUUUGGUCAACCUAUUGCAGGAUCUUGCACCCGAGCGUGCUUUUGCCGAUUUUGUUCUCUGCAAUGUGGUACUCCAUUUGGUGAUCAUGAACUUCCUUGGCUAAACAGGGUUCGUGUAACUCUUGUUGUUUCCAAUUGAGCUCUCGGACAAUAAAAAUGAAAAGUAGUAUACCUGGACAUAUCUCUUGCAAUAGUAUUUAUAGACAGUCACUGGCAUUUAACUGAUGUUAUGCUUUAGUUGAUGAAUAUUUUGGUCUUUUAUGGGGGUUCUG
rnacentral:lncRNA from 1 species